GAUGAAACUUAGACACAGCACUCAGUUUCCAGGGAAGUUAGGCAGAUGGAAAUUGUCAACUGUGAAAGGGAUGAGAGAUGGGACUUCUUAUUGAAGAAGGGGAGGGGCCUCAUAAGUUCCUGGACUUUGCUAAGUCAUGAUUGGAGAAGUGGCAGACCUCUCCUUUUGGUAUCUGAGGGAGGCAGUAGCAUUUUGGCUGAGUAGGUCAAGUCCCUUUGGAGGCAAUGGUCUGAGCAGGGUCAGCAGGAAGGGAUAGUUCUUUCCCCACAUACUGAUGGCAUCUGCCCAGGCUUAGUGGGCUGGGACUCCUCAGAUUACCUUCUCAUGCUGCCAGCUCCCUCACCUCAGCUGGCAUUGAAAUUCUUGAGUUGCCCUCAGCAGGAAGUCCUGGGGGAGGGAGGCGUCACAAGCACACAUUCAGGUUACUCUCUUUAUAGAAUUCGUCUCAGAAUUGUUUGAGUUUGCAAUGAAAUAAUGUUGCACACAAUAUAUCCAGUACUUCCUCUGAUAUUAUUGCUGCCAUCUGCGUCUCUGUCUUGUGCUGGAUCUAGAUAGACAUGGUAUCUGAGGCUUCCUCGCUAGGUUCCCAGUGUGGCCUGGCCUUGAUUAAGGUGUCAACAAAUAUUGUGUAGGUGGAUGAUGGCUCUUUCUUUCUUUUUUUCUUUUGUAGAAAAUAAAAAGCCAGGUGAAGGCUCCAAGGGCCACAAGAAGCCUGCAAAGCAAAAUGGGAAGAAAGCAGCCUCCAAAGUACCCUCUGCACCUCAUUUGGUUCACUGCAAUGGUCAUGCCAAUCGAGAGGCUGAAUUGAAGAAGAAGAGGGUUAAGGAGAUGAGGGAAUUGCAGCAAGCUGCCCGGGAGCAAGAAAGACAAAAACGCAGGACCAUGGAGAGCUACUGUCAGGAUGUCCUGAGACGCCAGGAGGAGUUUGAGCAUAAGGAGGAAGUUUUGCAGGAAUUAAAUAUGUUUCCUCAGCUGGAUGACGAGGCCACGAGGAAGGCUUAUUACAAGGAAUUCCGUAAGGUGGUGGAAUACUCUGAUGUGAUUCUGGAGGUCCUAGAUGCCAGAGACCCAUUAGGCUGCCGCUGCUUCCAAAUGGAGGAGGCUGUCUUGCGAGCCCAAGGCAACAAGAAGCUGGUCCUGGUCUUGAACAAGAUUGACCUGGUCCCCAAGGAGGUUGUGGAGAAAUGGCUGGAUUACCUUCGGAAUGAGUUGCCAACCGUGGCUUUCAAGGCCAGUACCCAGCAUCAGGUCAAAAACCUGAAUCGUUGCAGUGUACCAGUAGAUCAGGCCUCUGAGUCAAUGCUGAAAAGCAAAGCCUGCUUUGGAGCUGAAAACCUCAUGAGGGUUCUGGGGAACUAUUGCCGCCUUGGUGCAGUGCGCACCCACAUUCGUGUGGGCGUUGUGGGUCUUCCCAAUGUUGGGAAGAGCAGCCUGAUCAAUAGCCUGAAGCGCAGCCGCGCAUGCAGCGUGGGAGCCGUUCCUGGGAUUACCAAAUUCAUGCAGGAGGUCCACCUGGACAAGUUCAUCCGGCUGCUGGAUGCUCCAGGCAUUGUCCCAGGGCCCAACUCUGAGGUGGGCACCAUCCUGCGUAACUGCGUCCACGUGCAGAAGCUGGCAGACCCUGUGACCCCGGUGGAGACCAUCCUGCAGCGCUGCAACCUGGAGGAGAUUUCCAACUACUAUGGCAUCUCUGGGUUCCAGACCACUGAGCACUUUCUCACGGCAGUGGCCCACCGUUUGGGGAAGAAGAAGAAGGGAGGCGUAUACAGUCAGGAACAGGCAGCCAAAGCUGUCCUAGCUGACUGGGUCAGCGGGAAGAUCAGCUUCUAUAUACCACCACCACCUACUCACACUCUGCCCGCCCAUCUCAGUGCGGAGAUCGUUAAGGAAAUGACCGAGGUCUUUGACAUCGAGGAUACUGAGCAGGCCAAUGAAGACACCAUGGAAUGCUUGGCCACUGGAGAAUCUGAUGAGCUGUUGGGUGACACGGACCCACUUGAAAUGGAGAUCAAGUUGCUCCAUUCUCCGAUGACGAAAAUAGCAGAUGCCAUUGAAAAUAAAACCACCGUGUAUAAGAUUGGAGAUCUCACUGGGUAUUGCACCAAUCCGAACCGUCAUCAGAUGGGGUGGGCUAAACGCAAUGUGAACCACCACCCUAAGAACAACAAUAUGGUGGAUGUCUGCUCAGUGGACCGCCGCCCAGUGCUGCAGAGGAUCAUGGAGACGGAUCCCCUGCAACAGGGCCAGGCUCUGGCAUCCGCCCUGAAGAAUAAGAAGAAGAUGCAGAAACGUGCAGAUAAAAUCGCCAGCAAGCUGUCUGAUUCCAUGAUGUCUGCUCUCGACCUCUCUGCCAAUGGUGAUGAUGGUGUUGGUGACUAAUCGACUGAUCUCACUUCCCUUCCGCUCCAAGCGCCAGUUCCAGUGGUACGGGGGGAAUGCCAAUGAGAUAGUUUGGUUCUCCCUGAAGAGUCCCAAGGGGCUGCAGCUGCCAAAUCCAGUACCCUCUAUUUAACACCUAUUCUGUUUUAUAAGAGAAAUAAAAGAAAUCUCAGCAGA